rnacentral:rRNA from 1 species
GAUGAACGCUGGCGGCGUGCCUAAUACAUGCAAGUCGAGCGAACGGACGAGAAGCUUGCUUCUCUGAUGUUAGCGGCGGACGGGUGAGUAACACGUGGAUAACCUACCUAUAAGACUGGGAUAACUUCGGGAAACCGUAGCUAAUACCGGAUAAUAUUUUGAACCGCAUGGUUCAAAAGUGAAAGACGGGCUUGCUGUCACUUAUAGAUGGAUCCGCGCUGCAUGAGCUAGUUGGUAAGGUAACGGCUUAGCAAGGCAACGAUGCAUAGCCGACCUGAGAGGGUGUACGGCCACUCUGGGACUGAGAGACGGUCCAGACUCCUACGGGAGGCAGAAGUAGGGAAUCGUCCGAGAUGGGCGAAAUCCUGCCGGAGCAGCGCAGCGUGAGUGAUGAAGGUCUGCGGAUCGUAAAACUCUGUUAGUAGGGAAGAACAUAUGUGUAAGUAACUGUGCACAUCUUGACGGUACCUAAUCAGAAAGCCACGGCUAACUACGUG